AUGGUGGGGGAUGAUGGUGGGAUAACAUUGCUUCAAUCUCACUAUGUGGAAAAGAUCUUGAGUCGCUUUGGCUAUAGUGACUGCAAGCCUUCUCCAACACCAUAUGAUGCUAGCGUGCUACUUCGAAAGAAUCGAAGAAUUGCUAGAGAUCAAUUGAAAUAUUCUCAGAUUAUUGGCUCGUUUAUGUACUUAGCCAGUGCUACAAGACCUGACAUCUCUUUUGCUGUUAGCAAACUGAGUCUGUUUGUCUCAAAACGAGGAGAUGUGCAUUGGAAAGCUCUAGAAAGAGUUUUGCAUUAUUUGAAAGGCACUGCUAAUUAUGGAAUUCACUACACUGGGCACCCAAAGGUGCUUGAAGGGUAUAGUGACUCAAAC
rnacentral:rRNA from 1 species